GCCUGGGUGGCUCAGUCGGUUGAGCGUCCGACUUCGGCUCAGGUCACGAUCUCGCGGUCCGUGAGUUCGAGCCCCGCCUCGGGCU
rnacentral:tRNA from 1 species